GAUGAACGCUGGCGGCGUGCCUAAUACAUGCAAGUCGAGCGAACAGACGAGGAGCUUGCUCCUCUGACGUUAUCGGCUGACGGGUGAUUAACACGUGGAUAACCUACCUAUAAUACUGGUAUAACUUCGUGAAACCGUAUCUAAUACCGGAUAAUAUAUUGAACCGCAUGGUUCAAUAGUUAAAUACGGUUUUUCUGUCUCUUUUAGAUUGAUCCGGUCCGCAUUAUCUACUUGGUAAGGUAACGGCUUACCAAGGCAACGAUGCGUAGCCGACAUGAGAGGGGGAGCGGCCACACUGGAAGUGAGACACGGACAAGACGACUACGGGAGGCAGCAGAAGGGAAUGUUCCGCAAUGGGCGAAAGCCUGACGGAGCAAAGCCGCGUGAGUGAUGAAGGUCUGCGGAUCGUAAAACUAUGUUAUUAGGGAAGAAAAAAUGUGUAAGUAACUAUGAACGUAUUGACGGUAACUAAUCAGAAAGCCACGGCUAACUACGUG
rnacentral:rRNA from 1 species